rnacentral:rRNA from 1 species
UACGUAGGGUGCAAGCGUUGUCCGGAAUUAUUGGGCGUAAAGAGCUCGUAGGCGGUUUGUCGCGUCUGCUGUGAAAACUCGGGGCUUAACUCCGGGCCUGCAGUGGGUACGGGCAGACUAGAGUGCGGUAGGGGGAGACUGGAAUUCCUGGUGUAGCGGUGAAAUGCGCAGAUAUCAGGAGGAACACCGGUGGCGAAGGCGGGUCUCUGGGCCGUAACUGACGCUGAGGAGCGAAAGCGUGGGGGAGCGAACAGG